CAGACAUUUCCUUUCAUUGGCUUUCAAGAGACUCCUUUUGGAAAACCCAGAGGUGCUGGAAACAUCCAUCUACAACCUCCUUGAAGAAUGUGGAAUGCUUUGUUCUCACUUUGGUGACGCAGUGCUACCCGAGAAAGAAAAGUUGCUGGUCAGCAGGGCGAAGGAGGAUCUUAGAAACCUUACAGACUCAAGCUCAUCAUGCUUCUCUGUGACUUACCUCCAUUUCUCUGACCUGGUAUCAUUACCACUCCCUAAUACACAUUUACUGAAGAGGCAUUUAGGGACUAAAGUUGGGAUGGAAGAUCUAAUAUAAAUUAGGA